rnacentral:rRNA from 1 species
UACGGGGGGAGCAAGCGUUGUUCGGAUUUACUGGGCGUAAAGGGCGCGUAGGCGGCCAGCACAAGUCAGUUGUGAAAUCUCCGAGCUUAACUCGGAACGGUCAACUGAUACUGUGCGGCUAGAGUGCGGAAGGGGCAACUGGAAUUCUUGGUGUAGCGGUGAAAUGCGUAGAUAUCAAGAGGAACACCUGCGGCGAAGGCGGGUUGCUGGGCCGACACUGACGCUGAGGCGCGGAAAGCCCAGGGGAGCGAACGGG